rnacentral:rRNA from 1 species
UGCGGAAGGAUCAUUACCGAGUUGAUUCGGGCUCCGGCCCGAUCCUCCCACCCUUUGUGUACCCACCUCUGUUGCUUUGGCGGGCCGCGGUCCUCCGCGGCCGCCCUCCGUCCGGGGGGUGGCCAGCGCCCGCCAGAGGACCAUCGAACUCCGGUCAGUGAACGUUGCCGUCUGAAAAACAAUCAAUAAACUAAAACUUUCAACAACGGAUCUCUUGGUUCUGGCAUCGAUGAAGAACGCAGCGAAAUGCGAUAAGUAAUGUGAAUUGCAGAAUUCAGUGAAUCAUCGAAUCUUUGAACGCACAUUGCGCCCCUCGGUAUUCCGAGGGGCAUGCCUGUUCGAGCGUCAUUACAACCCUCAAGCUCUGCUUGGUGUUGGGCACCGCCCUUCCGCGGGCGCGCCUCAAAGACCUCGGCGGUGGCGUCUUGCCUCGAGCGUAGUAGAAAACACCUCGCUUUGGAGCGCACGGCGCCGCCCGCCGGACGAACCUUUUGAACUUUCUCAAGGUUGACCUCGGAUCAGGUAGGGAUACCCGCUGAACUUAA